rnacentral:lncRNA from 1 species
UUGGUGAUUAUAGAAAUUCUGUGAAUUCAAAUUGGUUGGAGUGAAGUCUGUUAUUUCUUGUGUUGGAUGGAAAUUAUGUGUUUUGAGCGGUCUUUUAAAAGUGUAAGGUUGCACAUUGUUGUUAUUAGUUGAUGAAGGAAUAUUGUUACUGGGAGAAAAUAUUGUAGCGUUUCUUGGUGUUUUAGUGGUUCGGAAUAUGGUUAAUUGUGU